rnacentral:tRNA from 1 species
UGUAGCUCAGUGGUAGAGCACAUGACUCAUAAUACCCAUGAGCCCUGGGUUUAAUCCCUAGCA